rnacentral:rRNA from 1 species
AGCUAGUUGGUAGGGUAACGGCCUACCAAGGCGAUGAUGCAUAGCCGAGUUGAGAGACUGAUCGGCCACAUUGGGACUGAGACACGGCCCAAACUCCUACGGGAGGCAGCAGUAGGGAAAUCUUCCACAAUGGACGCAAGUCUGAUGGAGCAACGCCGCGUGAGUGAAGAAGGGUUUCGGCUCGUAAAGCUCUGUUGUUGGUGAAGAAGGACAGGGGUAGUAACUGACCUUUGUUUGACGGUAAUCAAUUAGAAAGUCACGGCUAACUACGUGCCACCAGCCGCGGUAAU